GGGUUGUUACUGAAAAAAAAUGGCAGUUUUUAUAUUCUCCGAUCAAGUUUUGGCCUCCAUGCAACAUCCUAUAUUGUUUCCUGCAUGGUUUGCCUCCUCAGUCAUAGUCCACAGACUCUGAGAAGUCGUAGGAAUAUGCAGGUGCAGACACAAAGCCCAGCUUCAUCUCCAACGUUGUGGAAAGGGACUGUACAUCAUGGGGCAGAGCCCUGUGCUCCCCUAUGCCACCUGGACAGAGCCCGGGGAGAGUGACCUCCCGGGUUAUCCACGUUGGAAGAGAUUGCAACUGUUUUCCCCCAGAAAACUGUAAAACUUUAUUGAUAAUUUUAGCAAUCAAGGUUGUAAUAUCAAGACUGCA